CGCGGGGCUGGCCGGCUCUGGGGAGGCUUGGAAUUGUACAUUUAAGGAGUUUUUUACUUCGCUGGGAGCAUUUUUAAUUUAGCUGUAGGAUAUUUCUGGCUUGCUAAAGCAGCUGAAAACUUUCACAGGGCUUGUGAGCAAAUGGAGUUGAGCCAGAGCGGGGCAAUGGGCUGUGCAUCUCCAUCUGCUGCUGGGACACCAGUGUUUGGAGAACUGCUUAAUCCACACUGGAAAUUGAAAGCUUCGGAAGUGGCGGACUCGGAAUAACUGCAGAGUUCUCCUGGGACAGCGGCUGAACCUCCCGGGAGAGGUUUCCUUGCUGCUCCAAAGGCAGCUCCCAUACGAUGGCAGCAGAGGCCUGCAGCUGCUUCGGAGGAAUUUUUUGCCCAGUAUUUUAUUUUUUUUCCCCAAAGACGGUUGUUUGUUUUGGUUUCGUUCUUGGGUUGAUUUCUUUUUUCCUUCGCCUUUUUUUUCCCCCUUUAGCAAAAGCACUCUCCUCAGAGAAACUGAAAUAGAAACAAAGCGAAAAUCACCCUCAAAUGGGAGGAAAUGGCAUCGUCUGAGACCAGUUCCUUAAAUUAACAAUAACAUGAUGCAAUAUUUUUGCUGAAAAGUUAAAUUAGAUAAAUGUACAAAAAUAAUGAGCCUCGGAGCUGAGCAGCACAGGGCAGAGCCUGAAGUGACGCUGUUCUUGUUUCCUUCUCCUCCUGCGAUCCAGGACCGGACUGAACCUCUCCUUGGAAUCGCAUCCCACCUCCACAAAUCCUGCUGGAUGCACUGCACCUCCGUGUUCCACCCCAAAAACAAACCAGGGAAUUCCAAAGUGCUCAUUUACCCCAAUGUUUCUAGAAACCACCAGAUUCCAUUGUGGGGGAAAAAAUUAUAAUAAACAGGGGCCUCCUGGAGUAUCCUGGGAGAGCUCCUUGGAGCCUGAGGGGAUUUGAAGGAUUUCCUGAGGCUUCAGCCCGUGUUUAACACACAGAGCUGGACCUACAUAAACGCUGCAGUGAUUGGGAUAAUUAAUGGUAAUGGGUUCGGGGUAACACCAUCACCUGGUGCUGGGUUGAGUGAGUCACUGCUGGCCUUUGGUUUUGUUCUGGUUGUAAUCCAGUCAGGGCUUGUGAGCCGGGCUGGGGUGAGGGGGUGCAGAGCAACGAGGGGAAAGGCACGAGACUGAGUUGGAAAAGGCACGAGAUUGAGUUGGAAAAGGUACAAAAUUGAGUUGGGAAAGGCACGAGAUUGAGUUGGAAAAGGCACAAAAUUGAGUUGGAAAAGGCACAAGAUUGAGUUGGAAAAGGCACAAAAUUGAGUUGGAAAAGGCACAAAAUUGAGUUGUCCCAAACUCCUGAGGGUUGGGCUGAGGCCUCGUUCAUCUCAUCCGGCUUUGCCAACACCAACCCUGGGAGCAGCCCGGGAUUCUGCUGAAUAUUCCCGUUGUGGUGCAGCUGCCACUGCCAGGAGGGGUGAGAGAGGUUAAAUCAUCAAAUCAUGGAAUGGUUUGGGCUGGAAGAGACCUCAAAGCUCAUCCAUGGGCAGGGACACCUUCUACCAGCCCAGGGUGCUCCAAGCCCCGAUGUCCAACCCAGCCUUGGACACUGCCAGGGAUCCAGGGGCAGCCACAGCUUCUCUGGGCAGGAACAGGAGAUGGCAUCAUGGAAGGCUUUGGGUUGGAAAGGACCUUAAAGAUCACCCCAUUCCCAAAUAUUCCGGGUUUAGACUGCAAAGCGAGUUUUCCAAAGAGCCCAAACACUAAAACCCACAUGGAGCAAGGAUGGGCUGAGCUGUGUUUGUCCACAGCAUUCCUCCCUGUGA